rnacentral:rRNA from 1 species
GAUGAACGCUGGCGGCGUGCCUAAUACAUGCAAGUCGAGCGAACAGACGAGGAGCUUGCUCCUCUGACGUUAGCGGCGGACGGGUGAGUAACACGUGGAUAACCUACCUAUAAGACUGGGAUAACUUCGGGAAACCGGAGCUAAUACCGGAUAAUAUAUUGAACCGCAUGGUUCAAUAGUGAAAGACGGUUUUGCUGUCACUUAUAGAUGGAUCCGCGCCGCAUUAGCUAGUUGGUAAGGUAACGGCUUACCAAGGCAACGAUGCGUAGCCGACCUGAGAGGGUGAUCGGCCACACUGGAACUGAGACACGGUCCAGACUCCUACGGGAGGCAGCAGUAGGGAAUCUUCCGCAAUGGGCGAAAGCCUGACGGAGCAACGCCGCGUGAGUGAUGAAGGUCUUGGGAUCGUAAAACUCUGUUAUUAGGGAAGAACAAAUGUGUAAGUAACUAUGCACGUCUUGACGGUACCUAAUCAGAAAGCCACGGCUAACUACGUG